AACGAACGCUGGCGGCAGGCCUAACACAUGCAAGUCGAGCGAGGACUUCGGUUCUAGCGGCGGAUGGGUGAGUAACGCGUGGGAAUGUGCCCUUCUCUACGGAAUAGCCCUGGGAAACUGGGAGUAAUACCGUAUACGCCCUUUUGGGGACAGAUUUGUCGGAGAAGGAUCAGCAGGAGUUGGAUUAGGUAGUGGGUGGGGUAAUGGCCUACCAAGCCGUCGAUCCAUAGCUGGUUUGAGAGGAAGAGCAGCCACACUGGGACUGGGAAACGGCGCAGACUCCUACAGGAGGCAGCAGUGGGGAAUCUUAGACAACGGGGGGAACCCAGAUCGAGCCAGGCCGCUAGAGUGAUGAAGGCCUGAGGGUUGUAAAGCACGUUCAGCUGGGAAGAUAAUGACGGUACCAGCAGAAGAAGCCCCGGCUAACUCCGUG
rnacentral:rRNA from 1 species